rnacentral:rRNA from 1 species
AACGAACGCUGGCGGCAUGCCUAACACAUGCAAGUCGAACGAGACCUUCGGGUCUAGUGGCGCACGGGUGCGUAACGCGUGGGAACCUGCCCUUAGGUUCGGAAUAACUCCCCGAAAGGGGUGCUAAUACCGGAUAAUGUCUUCGGACCAGAGAUUUAUCGCCUGGAUGGGCCCGCGUUGGAUUAGCUAGUUGGUAGGGUAAAAGCCUACCAAGGCGACGAUCCAUAGCUGGUCUGAGAGGAUGAUCAGCCACACUGGGACUGAGACACGGCCCAGACUCCUACGGGAGGCAGCAGUGGGGAAUAUUGGACAAUGGGCGAAAGCCUGAUCCAGCAAUGCCGCGUGAGUGAUGAAGGCCUUAGGGUUGUAAAGCUCUUUUACCCGGGAUGAUAAUGACAGUACCGGGAGAAUAAGCUCCGGCUAACUCCGUG